UUUAAAUUAAAUCUUUUUAAUACAUUAAAUGGAUACCUCAACAUUAAUAACCCAAAGAACGUUUGUAAAACGAAAUAUUAUAAAGCCAAAAAGUAUAGCUUUUAAUUUUUCUAGUCAUAAAAGAGUUUUAAAGAAUUUAAACAGAUUUUAACUGUUUUCCAGUUAAAAUUUUUUAAGCUAGUGAACUGAAACAUCUAAGUAGCUAAGCAAAAAAAUCAACCGAGAAACCGUAAGUAGUGGCGAGCAAACGCGGAAUUGAUUAACCUUAAUAACUAUAUAAAGUGUGCUUAAAAAACUAAUUAACCAAAGAAGGUAGCAUACAUUAAAAAAUAUGAAGUCCUGUAAAGUAUAUUUUCCAAAUUUAAGGUAAAAAGUAAAAUGAUACAUGUCAUGUAUUAUUCUAAUAUUGGGGUACCACCCUCAAAAUCUAAAAAGUAUUAAUGAUUGAUAGUGAAUAAGUACCGUAAGGGAAAGGUGAAAAAGAAUUUUUGAAUCUGAAAAGAACUUGAAAUUUAAUGUUUUUAAUCAGUUGUUGCUUAUAGUAAAAGCAACAGCGUUCCUUUUGCAUAAUGAAUCAAUGAGUUUAUAUCAAUGGCGAGCUUAAACAGUAAAAAGUGUAAGCUAAAAAAACCUAAGUUUUAAAUUGCGUCUAAGUUGUAUAAUUUUAAAAAUGGUUUACCUUUAUAACUCUUAGACGUAAGAGUAUUAUAUUGGUCAUGACCAGAAAAAUUUAUUACACACAAAAGCUAAUAAAAUUUGGAAAAUAUCAAUAUCUUCAUAAGCUAUUUAGUAUUUCCCAAAAAAAAUUAUCAGCAAUAAUUUGUAUCAAUAAAAAAGUAAAAUUACUUUUUUUAUAGUCGUUGGUAUAAGACCCGAAACUAAGUGAUCUAACCAUGAACAGGCUGCAUUUAAAGCGGUAACGCUUAUUGAAGGGCCGAACUCGUGUAUGUAGAAAAAUACUGAGAUGAUUUGUGGUUAGGGGUGAAAGGCCAAUCAAACUUAGAGAUAGCUGGUUUUCUGCGAAAUCUAUUUAAGUAGAGCGUUUUAAAUUCUUUAUUUUAAGGUAGAGCACUCGAUAAAUAAAGGGGGCGUAAAGUCUUACUGCAUUUAAUGAAACUCCAAAUAUAAAAUCAUAAAGAUUUAAAACAGACAGACUAUGAGUGCUAAGAUUCAUAGUCAAAAAGGAAACAGCCCGAAUUACUUGUUAAGGCCCUCAAAAAUAAUUAAGUGAAAAAGAAAGUAAAAAAAUUUUAACAGCUUAUAUGUAGGCUUGGAAGCAGCCAUCUUUUCAAGAAAGCGUAACAACUCAUUGGUUUAGUUUUUUAGCGUCGAAAAUGUAUAGGGACUAAAAUUAUUUGCCGAAACAUUAAAUUUAAAUUAAUUUAUAUAUUAAUUUAAAUAGUAGCAGAACGUUUUGUAUAUUUAAGAAAAUUUGUAGUUAUAUAAAUUGAAAAAAUCAAAAAUGAAAAUAUUGAUAUGAGUAGCGAAAAACGCUUAAGUGAAUAAUAAACUGCGUCACCUUAAGUUCAAAGUUUAUAAGGAAAGGCUAAUCCUCCUUAUUGUUAAUCGGUCCCUAAGAUAACAACGAAAGUUCUAAUUAAUGGGUAAUAAUUUAUUAUUAUAUUAUAAAGUGACAAAAUAUGAAUUUAAUUUUUAUUGUAUCUAAUAAUUAACAGUUAUUUAUACUGCCGUAGGUAGUAUAAAUAAUCUAUGUUUGAUUUUGAUUAAAUCUUUUUUAAUAUUUUCAAGAAAUAGCUUAAAAUAAUACCGUACUGUAAACCGACACAGGUGAACAAAUUUAGUAAAUUAAGGUGCUUGAGUUAAUUGUGUUGAAGGAACUCGGCAAAAUGACUCCGUAACUUCGGGAUAAGGAGUAGCUUUUUAAGAUUUUAAUCUUAAAAAGCUGUCACAAAAUCGAGGACAGCGACUGUUUAAUAAAAACACAGGUCUCUGCAAAUUUGAAAAAAGAAGUAUAGAGACUGACGCCUGCCCGGUGCUGCAAGCUUAAUAGAAAAAGUUUUGGCUUUGACUUUAACCCCCAGUAAACGGCGGCUGUAACUCUGACGGUUCCAAAGGUAGCGAAAUUCCUUGGCAUUUAAUUGGUGUCCUGCAUGAAUGGCGUAACGACUGUCCUACUGUCUCCAAUGCAAUCUCAGUGAAAUUGAAAUGUCUGUGAAGAUGCAGACUACUCGCGGCUAGACGGAAAGACCCUGUGCACCUUUACACUAUAGUUAUAAAUUGUAAUAAAAUUUUUUAUGUGCAGUAUACGUGGUAAGUUUUUAUUAAACUGUAACGCAAGUUAUUUGUUCAAACACAAAUGAAAUACCACUCUUAAGAACUUUUGUUACUCAUAAUUUCAAAACAGUUUAUAAUGGGUAGUUUGACUGGGGCGGUCGCCUCCUAAAAAGUAACGGAGGCGUACGAAGGUAAGCUCAAAUUGAAUAAACCCAAUUUAAGAGCAUAAUAGCAUAUUGUUUGCUUGACUGAGAGAUUGACAAAUCGAACAGAGAUGAAAAUCGGUUAUAGUGAUCCGAUGAUCCUGAGUGGAAAAGAUCAUCGCUCAACGGAUAAAAGGUACGCCAGGGAUAUUAUCGCAUCCUGGAGCUGUAAAUGGUUCCAAGGGUUUGGCUGUUCGCCAAGAAAGGCGGUACAUGAUCUGAGUUUAGAACGUUGUAAAACAGUUUGGUCCCUAUCUACCGUGAGUGUUAAAAAUUUAAAGGGGUAGACCUUAGUACGAGAGGACCGGGAAAAGUAAAUCUCUGGUGGAUCGAUUGUUAUUUUAAUAGCAUUGUCGAGUAGCUACAUUUAUAAUAGAUAAUUGUUGAAAGCAUCUAAACAAGAAACUAGCCUUGAAAAAAAUUUUUUGAAAGUCGUAAAAGAUUAUUACGUAAUAGACUUAAUGUAUAAGAGUUGUAAGAUUUUUAGCAAAUAAGUACUAAAAUUUAAAUUGUUUAAG
rnacentral:rRNA from 1 species